CGGACGGGUGAGUAACGCGUGGGUAACCUGCCUUAUACAGGGGGAUAACAGUCAGAAAUGGCUGCUAAUACCGCAUAAGCGCACAGAGCUGCAUGGCUCAGUGUGAAAAACUCCGGUGGUAUAAGAUGGACCCGCGUUGGAUUAGCUUGUUGGUGGGGUAACGGCCCACCAAGGCGACGAUCGGUAGCCGGACUGAGAGGUUGAACGGCCACAUUGGGACUGAGACACGGCCCAGACUCCUACGGGAGGCAGCAUG
rnacentral:rRNA from 1 species